UCUAGGCUUGGUUGAGCCGCGCAGGAAGGUCCGAGGCUGGGGGAGCAGCCGUUGGCUCUGGUGCCCCUGGGGGUGGGAGCACGAGUGGGCAAGGAUGAUGGUGAGGCAGAGGAGGCGGCCCCGAGGGAGCGCCCGGCUGAGAGGCGGGGGGCCGAGGGGCCCGGGGAGCGGGCGUCACCGAGGGCCCUGGAAGCGGCAGGGCUGGGGGAGAGGAGACGCGUGUGUGGAGCAUGGGGACCCCAGCCCAGCUCCCACUUGCAGACCUGGGCCGCGGGCUGCCGGCCGAGUGGCCGGGGGGCCUGGCUGCCCAGGAGGCGGGCCGGGGCCGCGGCCGGGGGCGCGGAGCGGAGUUAGGGUCGCCAGGCCGAGCCGAGGUGGGACGGACCGACGCAGAGAGGAAGGGAAGCCACCUGGCCUGAAGAUCCUGUCUCUAAGAUCCCAUUCUGAGGCUUCGAGGGUCUGGCUUGAGCAGCACAGACAGGGACGUGUCUAACCGGGAUGACCAUGAGGUCUCAUCGCAGUUUGCCACUAACCAGAUAAGGAAAUGGCAGCUGACCCAGGUCAAGGAAGUUCCUGAGGUCCCAGGGCUAAUAAGUGGCCUGACUCCACCACCAGCCCCCAGGAGGAAGCCAACCCCAGCCCUAGAAAAACCCAAUUCCUGAGUGAGUGCUGUAAACCAAAAAUAAAAUUCUAAGCUUCCCAACUGCCUGAAUGAACCCCCUCUUGGCCAAAGGGAUUUUGAAAAAACCUAAAAACUGAGUUCAGGCCAUGACAGGAAGUGGGGCGUAGGCCAUGACAGGAAGUGGGGCGUGGGCCAUGCCUCAUCCUAGCCUCUCCCUUUUGGAGCUUAGACACAACUGACCAGCAUUAACAUUAAAACAGAAUCCUAAGACUGACAGAACAGACUCUCAGCAAUUAAGAUACCAACUCCAACCUGACUGGUCUAUCAUCACAUGGGAGAUGACAGAUGGUCUCUUAUCAGACCCUAAAAAGUGUCAGACUCUUAGUUAAAUCUCUCCUAGAUCAGGAAAAGGCCUAGAAAGGGAAGGGAGUCUGCAGGAUAUAAAUUUCCCCCACAAGAGAUGGCUUUGCAGGGCCAUUCCAAAAUAUGUCAAAGAAACAUAUGGUUUCUUCAUCCCAACUCCCGCAUCUUCCCCUGGACCAAAUGGCCUCAGGUCUUUGGCUCAAAGAAUUUCAGGCAAACUAUUACUUCCUCCUCAGAGGUACUCGGAAGCUCCAUUUCAUCACAGAAGGUCAGAAACCAACAUGAAACAGUUCUGCCAAUCAGAUUUAUAGCCCCAACCAGCUGAGACCAGGUCCUACCAAUGCUCCUGAAGUCUCAGAGCUAUACUUUCUUAAAUGUUCCAACAUAGUUAGGAAGGAACAGUUCCAGUUGGUUUCCUGCAUUAUACUGCCUGGCCUUCUCUAUAUGUCCAAUUUCACUUCCUCCAGAGAUCAAGGAAGCAAAAAAAGAGAGUGACUUGGAUGAGACUUACGUUAAAAGAAGAAAGGGAUAACCUGGUUUCACCACUCUCAAAACACUCUACCAUCAGUGAACAGCAACCUCUUCUCUUGAGGGACUUCUCAGCCACUCCCUACGGCCUUCUCUCCACUGCCUGAAUUGUGUACCUGGCUGUUCAGAGCCACAGCCUGGCUUUAAGCCAUCCAACUGCUGUACCAAUUGAUGAGUCACGUUUUUUCAAUUGGAAAAGAAUGACAAAGUUACCCUCUGAUUCAGAAAGGCAGCUGAUCUUUCAGGCAUGUGAGUGCUGACUGAGGAAACCGCACCUCUGUCCACCUGAGGAAAGUUGGAUUUCUGUGAUGGGUGGGGUGGUGGGGGUUGGAGCUUUGAAGUAAUUAAAUACCAGAUGAAGGGUGAGAAACUUCUAGCUUGUGAUUCCCAGACUCAGGGCUAGUGGAUGAGGGCAGAAUCUUCUCUAUAUUCUUGUCCCAUAUCCCAGAGGAUUCUAACAAGGACCAAACUCUGAAUGAAAACAGGACCAUUGCCUGACCCAUUCACCAGUGUUUGGCACACACUGGUGCUCAAAAAAUAAGCUGUUGAAUGAAUUGAUUAAUAAAAUAAAAAUGAGGCACGGGGCAGGUAUCUCCAUUUCACACACUGUGGGAAGUUGGGGUAUAUAACUCUGAAGUGUUAAGAUGACUGUGGAGCUCCUUCCAUUAAGUCAAGCUGCCAAUAAGGCUGAAACCAACUUAAAUAUACUAAUGGGAGGACAUUGAAGGUAAACAGCAUUCAUUUUUUCAACGGAAUAAGACUAUAAAUGGCAAGCAGAGACAAGGUUCUUUGGGGCCCUUUAAAACUGUGGUCAAAUGGCCCACCCAUCUGAUGCCAGGUCCUCAGGAUUCAGAGAACAUGUGUACCAAAAAGCCCCCAGGAAACUAAAUGCUAGCAUGGGACUUGGGUGCCUCUGGAAUGUCCUUCUGCCUCAGCUACUCUGAGAUAACAUGGUUCCCUGUGUUCAUGGAACCCAGAUGGCCAAAAGUCAAUGAUCCAGCACUUAUAAGAAAAGAAAGCCAUUCAAGAGCCUCUGUACCCACCUAGGCCUCAGCCUCCCCAGGACCUACUCACCUAUACUCUUCACAACAGGUAACAUUGCCUCUGGCACCCAUCACAUCCCCUGAAUUUGGCAUCAGGAUUGAUCUGCCAUCAGCUCUGGCAGGGAGAGGCCCUUACAAAUGCCAGGAAAAGAAACAUGAACAAUAUUCUGUGACCACAGCCAACACCACACAGAACUUCCCAGAGGCUCUCCAGGGCAAGAACACCAACCAGAAGGAAGGGGCAGCUUCCAUCAUUCUGUGCUAAGUGAGCUGAGUGAGUGGCCAUCUCUCACCUUCCAGAUAUUUGAAUGAUACCUACCAUUCCAGCAGCCAGCACAAGUCAUUUAAUAUGAAUGCCAGAAACACAAUCCCUGAGGACAGGUGCAGGAGACCAGAUGCCAGGAAAAACCCCGGCUGACCCAAGAGUUGGGGAGAGCCCACUGCUCCUCCACCCUUAUUUACCACCUGAGCCCCUGCACCCACCAAUCAUGCUGCUCAGUCUCUAACUGUGGGUCUGAGUGAGCACCUACAUUUGGCUGUUGAGGGGCAGCUGGUGGAAGGAGACUCUGCACUAAGUUCUCAGGUUGAAUGGGAGUGGGGUCGAGGGAAGCAAUGGACGCAGAGUUGGGGUAAAGACAUGCGGUGGUGUCAGCGGGGGUGAAAGGACACGGAGAUGUCAUUUUUUAACAAGAUUGGGUGAGGGUGGUAGGAAAGGAGGCAGUAAGAGUUCAGGACAGUUUAGCAAAGACUUAGGGAUGGGGUGUCCUCAGGACGGCAGGAGACGGAAAAGAAGGUAUACAGUGGCUAGGAGACUAAGGAUGAGAAGACACUGUUAAGACUUGGAAUAAGGCUGAGAUCGGAGUUAUCCAGAAGAAAGCGGUGAGCUCAACAGGGCACCAACUUCCUGGGGCUGGACUACGGCUGCGCAAAUCCCACCCAGCCCAAAAAAGUAAGUGUGAGGAGAGAAGGGAAAAACUAAAAAGGAAAAUCAGAAAAAAACAAAAGAGAUGGACGGCAGUGCGUGCGCAGGGGCAGUACCCAUGCCGUUGCCCGGCCUGCCAGCUGCAGGAGCAGGAGAACUCGGGAAUGAGGAAGAAACCAGGAAAUGACAGAAAGAAAAAAAAAAAA
rnacentral:lncRNA from 1 species